UUUUUUUGUGUAGCGUUGAAAGGGUUAAUUGAAGGACCCUGAUCGGGAUUAAAAAAGAAUUGUUUGUUCUGUUACAAAGUUUUAACUGACUAAGUUCAGAUUCUUUAGAAAAAUAUUGAUGUCAUGAGCAUUUUUAUUUAUAAAUUCUAUUUUUAGUCUCUGUUUAUAGUCCAAACCAGAGUGAUACUUUUAGUUGAUAAAAUUUAUUAAGGUUGAUAAGAAAACAAAUGAAUGUGUUGAGAUGGUCAAGAAUUUUAAGAGAUAAUAAAUAAUGUA
rnacentral:lncRNA from 1 species